rnacentral:rRNA from 1 species
AUUGAACGCUGGCGGCAUGCUUUACACAUGCAAGUCGAACGGUAACGCGGGGCAACCUGGCGGCGAGUGGCGAACGGGUGAGUAAUGCAUCGGAACGUGCCCGGUAGUGGGGGAUAACUGCUCGAAAGAGCAGCUAAUACCGCAUACGACCUGAGGGUGAAAGGGGGGGGAUCGCAAGACCUCUCGCUAUUGGAGCGGCCGAUGUCGGAUUAGCUAGUUGGUGGGGUAAGGGCCCACCAAGGCGACGAUCCGUAGCUGGUCUGAGAGGACGACCAGCCACACUGGGACUGAGACACGGCCCAGACUCCUACGGGAGGCAGCAGUGGGGAAUUUUGGACAAUGGACGCAAGUCUGAUCCAGCCAUGCCGCGUGCGGGAAGAAGGCCUUCGGGUUGUAAACCGCUUUUGUCAGAGAAGAAAUCUUCUGGGUUAAUACCUCGGGAGGAUGACGGUAUCUGAAGAAUAAGCACCGGCUAACUACGUGCCAGCCGCCGCGGUAAGAC